rnacentral:misc_RNA from 1 species
UCCCAGUUAACCUGGGCAGUCUCGCUAGAGUUCCCGCCAUUACGCGCUGGCAACUAACGAUAAGGGUUGCGCUCGUUGCGGGACUUAACCCAACACCUCACGGCACGAGCUGACGACAGCCAUGCAGCACCUGUGCACCGGCUCCGAAGAGAAGCUCUAUCUCUAGAGCGGUCCAAUGCAUGUCAAGCCUGGGUAAGGUUCUUCGCGUUGCAUCGAAUUAAACCACAUGCUCCACUGCUUGUGCGGGUCCCCGUCAAUUCUUUUGAGUUUCACCCUUGCGAGCGUACUCCCCAGGCGGCAUACUUAAUACGUUAGCUCCGGCACAGCUGGGGUUGAGUCCAGCUACACCUAGUAUGCAUUGUUUACGGCAAGGACUAC